rnacentral:rRNA from 1 species
GUCUACGGCCAUACCACCCUGAACGCGCCCGAUCUCGUCUGAUCUCGGAAGCUAAGCAGGUCGGGCCUGGUUAGUACUUGGAUGGGAGAAAAUGUAAAUACCCUGUAUAGUCC